CAGGGAGAAUGGUCCCAACCUCACCUAGAGGAUUGCACAAUGCUCCUCCUGACCCAUCUGACGGAGCUUCAGGAGGUCCAAGCUUCUGCUUUACUGCAAGCACUGAUGGACGAGAAUGCUCCGCUUGUCCAAGCUCUGCGAGAAAGAUAUGAAUCUGAAAUCCAAGCACAAUGCUUCACCAACCUGCUCCACCUCCUGACUUCAGAUGCACCUCCUACUAAGCUGAUUCAUUAUCCAAGCUUGAUUGAAAACAGCAACAAUGAGCAAAUCAUAGCUCAGUCACCUUUCACGGGACAAGUUGAGGUCCAAAACGCCAGUGGUGGAUCAGCUGAAGCUCAGACUGACGAUUCAAUCAAAGGAGCCAGCAAUGAAGUCCAAAACGCAGAUGGGACUGACAAGCAGGAUGUCUGCUCAGGUUGUGGUGCGAUCAUGGAGGACCUGCCCUACUUGGAGAUCUUGUGUGUGUCAGAUGCAAAAAGUAAUGUUCACGAGGGCCUCGCUGCAGAGGGGGGAGCCCAGACAGAAGAAGAGGACAGUGCACCAAAGAGUCCACAGAGCUACGAGAAGCAAGGCUCUUUGAUCACUCUGGCUUGGAGCAAACCACCAGAGGAUGACACAGACUAUGAGGCAGAAGCUGCAGAUGGAGGAACAGGACAGAGUCAGGAUGUUGAGAGCAGUUUGACGACCCAAGUCCAACCGGCACAAUGUGAAGAGACAGUUCCGGAGAAAGACAGAGAAGAUCUGAAACCCUCUCUGUUACAGUCUGGUUCUCCAGGUCACUGUGAAGCACAGACUGGAGAUGAGCAAAGCCACACAGUAGAACAGCUAACCUUGAGUAAGAGAUCAACAGCUGACCGAGCAGACGAGGAAGAAGCUGCAUGUGAAUGUGACCUGCGAACACAAGCUUCGGUCACAGAGAUUCUGCAGGCCACAGAACGGUUUUUGGCUGAUUCCUCUGAAACUGACCCACAUGCUGAUGACCUCUGCUCUGGAGAGUCCGAUAACACAGUGACUGAGGUGGAAAUGUGUCCUACCGCAACAGAGUCUGAGCUGUGGGAUCUGACAGGGCCUGAACCUGAUCACCAUGAAGACCAGAAAUAUUCUCCAGAUGCAACAGUAGACUGUAGGAAGGAAGUGAGAGAAUCCACUUUAAUGGACAGAGCACGAGUGACAGAACCAGUGUCUGCAAUGGAGAGAGAGAGGACGAUGCGUAAUCUGGUGGACAUGCAAAAAAAGGUUGAACAGAAACAGCAGAGAGACAGAGAGAGACAACUGCUGAGGGUUCAAGAGCGUCUGUCGAUCGUCCAGAACAGAAAGGCAGAGGAAGACCUGCUCGGCCUGAAACACACCGACAGAUUAAGACACGUCACGCAAGAUCUACCGAUGGAAGACAAGAACCAGCAGAAGACUGUUGUCAGAGAGCGACUGGAGCAGCUCAGAAGAGAGCGCUCUUAUAUCAUGCAGUCAAAAAGAGACAGGAAUACUGCAGGAUUUAAGGAACUCCUUGGUCCAGUUGCCCUCCAUAGCAGAGAAACAGAGGAUGGAGAAGACUGAAAAAAUAGCAGCUUAUACUUGUUAUAUUAAGAAAAAUAAUCUUCAUAAAUCCUGUAUUCAUCAUAAAUGUAAAUGCUGCCCGACAUCCAACCAUAUACUGCAACAAAUGUAUGAUUUUCUACGCAUUUACAGUUUACUGAGCCUCCAUUUUUCAAACAAUAGCCUGUGUUUAAGUGUAGUUAUGCAACUUUUAUAUCACUAGUGUUGUUCCUUUUUUUGUGGUCAUAUACUGUAAGUGUACAUUAAGAA
ensembl:lncRNA